rnacentral:tRNA from 1 species
AAAUAAAUAACUAAAUGCAAGUAUGUUAGUUACAAUAACAUAAUGAUCGUACGAUCUUUAUUUU